rnacentral:rRNA from 1 species
GAUGAACGCUGGCGGCGUGCUUAACACAUGCAAGUCGAACGGAAAGGCUCCUGCUUGCAGGGGUACUCGAGUGGCGAACGGGUGAGCAACACGUGGGUGAUCUGCCCUGCACUUCGGGAUAAGCCUGGGAAACUGGGUCUAAUACCGGAUAGGACGAUGGUUUGGAUGCCAUUGUGGAAAGUUUUUUCGGUGUGGGAUGAGCUCGCGGCCUACCAGCUUGUUGGUGGGGUAAUGGCCUACCAAGGCGUCGACGGGUAGCCGGCCUGAGAGGGUGUACGGCCACAUUGGGACUGAGAUACGGCCCAGACUCCUACGGGAGGCAGCAGUGGGGAAUAUUGCACAAUGGGCGCAAGCCUGAUGCAGCGACGCCGCGUGGGGGAUGACGGCCUUCGGGUUGUAAACUCCUUUCGCUAGGGACGAAGCGCAAGUGACGGUACCUGGAGAAGAAGCACCGGCUAACUACGUG